ACCUUUACCUAAAUAUCUUGAAGGCACCAGAUUUUCUUUGAUCUUGAAAGCUAAGCAGGGUCAGACCUGGUUAGGACUGGGACUGCAGUCCUCUGAGGACUGCCAAGUGCUAUAGGCU
rnacentral:rRNA from 11 species